GCUAUAGUCACUGACCAGUGACUAUCACUUCAGAGACAGUGAAUCUUGACCAAUCAGAAUGCAGAAAAAUCCAUAGUCACCUGGAAAUUUAUACUAACUGGCAUUAGACAGAGUUACAUUGUCAUGCUGCAAUGCACUUUGUAUAGGAAAUUACACGGUUCGAGAAGUACCGUAUUAUAAAAUAAAUGAGUGGUAUUACAGAUAUUUUGCCAAACACAAACUUGUGUGAUUUUUCAUUAAUACUUCGAGAACAAGUGUAAAUUUUUCCUAUUAAUAUUAUUUUAGUCAAUUUUGCAUGAGUACCCGAUGACAAGAAACAUUGUAUUUUAAAAUAUAUAUUCAAGUGAUCAAAACAGUAUCCACCAAUCUGAUCAAUUUUAAGCUUUAAUAAUUUCUGACAUUAAUUAUUGUUCAUUUCAUUACAUACCUGUAAAACUGUCAAUAAUUUUUUUAUUUCUUUGUCUUCAUUCAUAAGAGGUCAGUGUAAUUGUUGUUUAUUUAGAUUUUGUGUUUAAAUUUCUGCACUCAGGUGAGCAUGCGGAAUGCACGCGGAUUCGUAUUUGUGCCAACUAAUCUUUAAUCGACACACCUGUGCCGUCAAUGUGCCCAUGCACCCUACUUUAUUUUUUUACUCUUGCUGUCUAACGCCAGACGAUUUUACUCGUCAGGGGAGAGUGCUGCCGCUCAAUGGGUUAAUUGCCACAGUUUUAAACCAACCAGAAUUGAGUAAGUUGACUAAAAUUAUAUUAAAUAGGAUAAUUCAGGAAAGAUUUACAUCUUUCUCAAGAUGCCCGUUUUCCAAAUAAUUCCAACGCUUAUCACAUAUUUGCAUUAGCAAAAUGUUUUGUAUAGGUAAUAGCAUGGUCUCGAGUGCAAUUUUUGGAUAUAACAUGCACGAGUGAGUUUUUCAAAGACCUCAUUCGGACUCGUGCUAUUUGAGGUCUUUGAAAAACUCACGAGUGCAUGUUUAUCCAAAUUUCACGAGAAACCAUGCUAUUUACUUAUUAAUAACUUACAUAAAAAUGUUCGAGACAAUUGUAGUUUUAACUUACGCGUUUAUAGCGAACAUUCCACUGCCACUGGCAAAGUUUUCCUGACUUUGUUAUAUCACAUUAUACAUGUACAACAUUAACAGGAUAGUAAUAGUUAUAAAUUGACGGUGUAGAUUUCACUUCGCCUUCAUCUUUUCCAGUCGAUUCAUCGCCUUGGCUAGCCAUAGUCUUUAAAUUUUAGACUUCGACAAGCGAAUACAUGUGAAUAAAUAUUUACUUAAAUAUCUUUACUAUUAUUACAAAAACAAGGCGCAAAAUG